GUGACCUCAAAUCAGGUAGGACUACCCGCUGAACUUAAGCAUAUCAAUAAGCGGAGGAAAAGAAACUAACAAGGAUUCCCCUAGUAACUGCGAGUGAAGCGGGAAAAGCUCAAAUUUAAAAUCUGGCAGUCUUUGGCUGUCCGAGUUGUAAUCUAGAGAAGUGCUAUCCGCGCUGGACCGUGUACAAGUCUCCUGGAAUGGAGCGUCAUAGAGGGUGAGAAUCCCGUCUUUGACACGGACUACCAGGGCUUUGUGAUGUGCUCUCAAAGAGUCGAGUUGUUUGGGAAUGCAGCUCAAAAUGGGUGGUAAAUUCCAUCUAAAGCUAAAUAUUGGCGAGAGACCGAUAGCGAACAAGUACCGUGAGGGAAAGAUGAAAAGAACUUUGGAAAGAGAGUUAAACAGUACGUGAAAUUGCUGAAAGGGAAACGCUUGAAGUCAGUCGCGUUGUCCAGGGAUCAACCUUGCUUUUGCUUGGUGCACUUYCUGGUUGACGGGUCAGCAUCAAUUUUGACUGUUGGAAAAAGAUCAAGGGAAUGUGGCAUCUCUGGAUGUGUUAUAGCCCUUGGUUGCAUACAAUGGUUGGGAUUGAGGAACUCAGCACGCCGCAAGGCCGGGUUU
rnacentral:rRNA from 1 species